rnacentral:pre_miRNA from 1 species
CUGUGCAUGGUGGAGAAGCAGGGCACGUGCAUUACCAUCCAAUGCCGCCAUGCCGCUCCAUGCUCCUCCUCCUCCUCUGAUGAUGAGCUCACCAACCGUUAUGGAUGGAUGCAUGCAUGGAUCGAUGCUAGGAUGGUUCUUCAUGUGCCCAUCUUCUCCACCCAGCACAA